AUUAGACGAAUCAUCUGGAAAGAUGAAUCAAAGAAGGUAAUAAUCCUGUAGUCGAAAAUGUUGUCUCUCUUGAGUGGAUCCUGAGUACGACGGAGCACGUGAAAUUCCGUCGGAAUCUGGGAGGACCAUCUCCUAAGGCUAAAUACUCUCUAGUGACCGAUAGUGAACCAGUACCGUGAGGGAAAGGUGAAAAGCACCCCGGAAGGGGAGUGAAAUAGAACCUGAAACCGUGUGCUUACAAGUAGUCAGAGCCCGUUAAUGGGUGAUGGCGUGCCUUUUGUAGAAUGAACCGGCGAGUUACGAUUUGAUGCAAGGUUAAGCAGUAAAUGUGGAGCCGUAGCGAAAGCGAGUCUGAAUAGGGCGUUUAGUAUUUGGUCGUAGACCCGAAACCAGGUGAUCUACCCUUGGUCAGGUUGAAGUUCAGGUAACACUGAAUGGAGGACCGAACCGACUUACGUUGAAAAGUGAGCGGAUGAACUGAGGGUAGCGGAGAAAUUCCAAUCGAACCUGGAGAUAGCUGGUUCUCUCCGAAAUAGCUUUAGGGCUAGCCUCAAGUGAUGAUUAUUGGAGGUAGAGCACUGUUUGGACGAGGGGCCCCUCUCGGGUUACCGAAUUCAGACAAACUCCGAAUGCCAAUUAAUUUAACUUGGGAGUCAGAACAUGGGUGAUAAGGUCCGUGUUCGAAAGGGAAACAGCCCAGACCACCAGC
rnacentral:rRNA from 1 species